rnacentral:rRNA from 1 species
UACGUAGGGGGCAAGCGUUGUCCGGAAUCAUUGGGCGUAAAGCGCGUGUAGGCGGUUAUCCAAGUCGGGUGUGAAAGCCUUGAGCUCAACUCAAGAAAUGCACUCGGUACUGGGUGACUAGAGGACCGGAGAGGAUAGUGGAAUUCCCAGUGUAGUGGUGAAAUACGUAGAGAUUGGGAAGAACACCAGUGGCGAAGGCGGCUAUCUGGACGGUUUCUGACGCUAAGACGCGAAAGCGUGGGGAGCAAACAGG